rnacentral:rRNA from 1 species
UGGGGAAUAUUGGACAAUGGGGGCAACCCUGAUCCAGCAAUGCCGCGUGGGUGAAGAAGGUUUUCGGAUUGUAAAGCCCUUUUGGCGGGGACGAUGAUGACGGUACCCGCAGAAUAAGCUCCGGCUAACUUCGUGCCAGCAGCCGCGGUAAUACGAAGGGGGCUAGCGUUGCUCGGAAUGACUGGGCGUAAAGGGCGCGUAGGCGGCUUGUAUAGUUAGGCGUGAAAUUCCUGGGCUCAACCUGGGGACUGCGUCUAAUACAUGCAGGCUUGAGUGUGAAAGAGGGUCGUGGAAUUUCCAGUGUAGAGGUGAAAUUCGUAGAUAUUGGAAAGAACACCGGUGGCGAAGGCGGCGACCUGGUUCAUUACUGACGCUGAGGCGCGAAAGCGUGGGGAGCAAACAGG